rnacentral:lncRNA from 1 species
UGACCCCAAAAGGGACCCAGGUCCUAAAGGUGACCCCAAAAAGGGACCCAGGUGACCCUAAAAGGGAUCCAGGUCCUAAAGGUGACCCUAUAAUGACCCUAAAUGACCCCAAAAUGGUCCGAAAUGACCCCAAAAGGGCCCUAGGUGACCCUAAAAGGGAUCCAGGUCUUAAACAUGACCCCAAAAGGGAUCCAGGUCCUAAAAGUGACCCCAAAAGGGAUCCAGGUCCUAAAGGUGACCCCAAAAAGGGACCCAGGUGACCCUAAAAAUG